rnacentral:rRNA from 1 species
AACGUAGGAGGCAAGCGUUAUCCGGAUUUACUGGGCGUAAAGCGCGGGUCGGUGGUGACUUAAGUCAUGCGUGAAAGCUCUCGGCUUAACCGGGAGAGGUCGUGUGAAACUGGGUCGCUGGAGGUUGGGAGAGGCAGACGGAAUUCCGGGUGGAGUGGUGAAAUGCGUAGAGAUCCGGAGGAACACCAGUGGCGAAGGCGGUCUCCUGGGCCGAGGGCCGACGCUGAGGCGCGAGAGCGUGGGGAGCGAACCGG